GCAGUGGUGGUUCAGUGGUAUAAUUCUUGCCUUCUGUGUAGGAGACCCGGAUUCGAUUCCCAGCCAAUGCA
rnacentral:tRNA from 1 species